CCGCCGUAAGACCAAGGUUUCCCGGGCAAUGUCAAUCACCCCGGGGUUAGUCGGGUCCUAAGUCUCAGCCGAAUGGCGAUGGCGAUGGUAGAAACGGUUAAUAUUCCGUUACUGCUUUAAUGAGUGAUGGGCAGACGAAGAAGUGACACCACCGCGAGGCGACGGAAGUCCUCGUUAAAGAGUGUAGGAGUUGAUGAUUGCAGGUAAAUCCACAAUCAGAUCCGACCUUGAUAGUAUGGUUUUCUCCUCGGAGCGAACCAAUAGUGUGGGUAAUCCUGCUUCCAAGAAAAUGCUCUAAACAUAUUGUUAAAGCACCCGUACCGUAAACGGACACACGUAGUCGGGUAGAAUAUACUAAGGCGUUGAGAGAUUCAUGGUUAAGGAACUAGGCAAAUUGACCCCGUAACUUCGGGAUAAGGGGUCCUCAUACUGUAAUGGUAGUGAGGCGCAGAGAAUCGGUCCAGGCAACUGUUUAACAAAAACACAGGGCUGUGCUAACUCGAAAGAUGAUGUAUACAGUCUGACACCUGCCCGGUGCUGGAAGGUUAAGAGGAGAGCUUAUUCUUCGGAAGAAGGUUUGAAUUGAAGCCCCAGUAAACGGCGGCCGUAACUAUAACGGUCCUAAGGUAGCGAAAUUCCUUGUCGGGUAAGUUCCGACCUGCACGAAUGGUGUAAUGAUCUGGACACUGUCUCAACCAUGAUCUCAGUGAAAUUGUAGUAUCGGUGAAGAUGCCGAUUACCCGCGAUGGGACGAAAAGACCCCGUGAACCUUUACUACAGCUUAGCAUUGACCUUGGUCAUCCGAUGUGUAGGAUAGGCCGGAGGCUUUGAAGGGGGUGCGCCAGCACUCUUGGAGCCAUCCUUGAAAUACGGCCCUUUGGCUGUCUGAGGUCUAACUCGUGAAUUACGAGGACAUUGUUUGGUGGGUAGUUUGACUGGGGUGGUCGCCUCCAAAAGCGUAACGGAGGCUUCCAAAGGUACCCUCAGGUCGAUUGGUAACCGACCUAUUAGAGUGCAAUGGCAUAAGGGUGCUUGACUGAGAGGCAGACAUGCCGACCAGGUAGGAAACUAGGGCAUAGUGAUCCGGCGGAUGUGUAUGGAAACUCCGUCGCUCAAAGGAUAAAAGGUACUCCGGGGAUAACAGGCUGAUCCCCCCCAAGAGCUCAUAUCGACGGGG
rnacentral:rRNA from 1 species